rnacentral:rRNA from 1 species
UACGUAGGGUGCGAGCGUUGUCCGGAAUUACUGGGCGUAAAGAGCUCGUAGGUGGUUUGUCGCGUUGUUCGUGAAAUCUCACGGCUUAACUGUGAGCGUGCGGGCGAUACGGGCAGACUUGAGUACUGCAGGGGAGACUGGAAUUCCUGGUGUAGCGGUGGAAUGCGCAGAUAUCAGGAGGAACACCGGUGGCGAAGGCGGCAUCCUGGACCAACACUGACACUGAGGAGCGAAAGCCAGGGGAGCAAACGGG